rnacentral:rRNA from 1 species
GACGAACGCUGGCGGCGUGCCUAAUACAUGCAAGUCGAGCGAGCGGAACUAACAGAUUUACUUCGGUAAUGACGUUAGGAAAGCGAGCGGCGGAUGGGUGAGUAACACGUGGGGAACCUGCCCCAUAGUCUGGGAUACCACUUGGAAACAGGUGCUAAUACCGGAUAAGAAAGCAGAUCGCAUGAUCAGCUUUUAAAAGGCGGCGUAAGCUGUCGCUAUGGGAUGGCCCCGCGGUGCAUUAGCUAGUUGGUAAGGUAAAGGCUUACCAAGGCGAUGAUGCAUAGCCGAGUUGAGAGACUGAUCGGCCACAUUGGGACUGAGACACGGCCCAAACUCCUACGGGAGGCAGCAGUAGGGAAUCUUCCACAAUGGACGCAAGUCUGAUGGAGCAACGCCGCGUGAGUGAAGAAGGUUUUCGGAUCGUAAAGCUCUGUUGUUGGUGAAGAAGGAUAGAGGUAGUAACUGGCCUUUAUUUGACGGUAAUCAACCAGAAAGUCACGGCUAACUACGUGCCAGCAGCCGCGGUAAUACGUAGGUGGCAAGCGUUGUCCGGAUUUAUUGGGCGUAAAGCGAGCGCAGGCGGAAGAAUAAGUCUGAUGUGAAAGCCCUCGGCUUAACCGAGGAACUGCAUCGGAAACUGUUUUUCUUGAGUGCAGAAGAGGAGAGUGGAACUCCAUGUGUAGCGGUGGAAUGCGUAGAUAUAUGGAAGAACACCAGUGGCGAAGGCGGCUCUCUGGUCUGCAACUGACGCUGAGGCUCGAAAGCAUGGGUAGCGAACAGGAUUAGAUACCCUGGUAGUCCAUGCCGUAAACGAUGAGUGCUAAGUGUUGGGAGGUUUCCGCCUCUCAGUGCUGCAGCUAACGCAUUAAGCACUCCGCCUGGGGAGUACGACCGCAAGGUUGAAACUCAAAGGAAUUGACGGGGGCCCGCACAAGCGGUGGAGCAUGUGGUUUAAUUCGAAGCAACGCGAAGAACCUUACCAGGUCUUGACAUCUAGUGCCAUUUGUAGAGAUACAAAGUUCCCUUCGGGGACGCUAAGACAGGUGGUGCAUGGCUGUCGUCAGCUCGUGUCGUGAGAUGUUGGGUUAAGUCCCGCAACGAGCGCAACCCUUGUUAUUAGUUGCCAGCAUUAAGUUGGGCACUCUAAUGAGACUGCCGGUGACAAACCGGAGGAAGGUGGGGAUGACGUCAAGUCAUCAUGCCCCUUAUGACCUGGGCUACACACGUGCUACAAUGGGCAGUACAACGAGAAGCGAGCCUGCGAAGGCAAGCGAAUCUCUGGAAGCUGUUCUCAGUUCGGACUGCAGUCUGCAACUCGACUGCACGAAGCUGGAAUCGCUAGUAAUCGCGGAUCAGCACGCCGCGGUGAAUACGUUCCCGGGCCU